CCUACGGGAGGCAGCAGUGGGGAAUUUUGGACAAUGGGGGCAACCCUGAUCCAGCCAUGCCGCGUGAGUGAAGAAGGCCUUCGGGUUGUAAAGCUCUUUCAGCCGGAACGAAACGGUUACGGUUAUACCCGUGACUAAUGACGGUACCGGAG
rnacentral:rRNA from 1 species